rnacentral:rRNA from 1 species
UACUAGAGUAGCACUCGCAUAUCAAUAAGCGGAGGAAAAGAAACUAACAAGGAUUCCCCUAGUAAUGGCGAGUGAAGCGGGAAGAGCUCAAAUUUGAAAUCUUAAAGGGUUUCCCUUUACGAAUUGUAGUUUAAAGAAGUGUUUUCUGUUGAGGUUUUGGUAAAAGUUCUUUGGAAUAGGACAUCAUAGAGGGUGAGAAUCCCGUAUUUGACCUUUACUUUCAACUUUGUGAUACACUUUCAAAGAGUCGGAUUGUUUGGGAAUGCAGUCCAAAAUGGGUGGUAAAUUUCAUCUAAAGCUAAAUAUUGGCGAGAGACCGAUAGCGAACAAGUACCGUGAGGGAAAGAUGAAAAGAACUUUGAAAAGAGAGUUAAACAGUACGUGAAAUUGUCAAAAGGGAAGCGUUUGACACCAGUGUUGUUUUUCUGAAAAUCAAUUAAAGAACUGUUUAUGCUAAGCUGUUUAGACUUUAUCAGCUAAUCUGCUUAGUUUUGAGCUUUUCUUUAAUGCACUUUUCAGUUAACAAGUCAACAUCAAUUUCUUUUGCUGUAAAAAAGCUUGAGGAAGGUGGCUUGAGAUUCGUCUUAAGUGUUUAUAGCCUCUUGCCUAUGCAGUCGGAGAGAUUGAGGUCUGCAGCGUAGAUCCUUCGGGGCUAAAUGCAUUUGUGCUAAGUUAUAGCAUUUCAUAGACAACUUGUUGACUAUGAUUUGUCUUGUAGCUUACUCGCUUAUGUUAUUUUACCUACGCUUAGGAUGUUGAACUACUGAGACAUAGA